AUGAGAAAGUUGGUCCGAGAGGAUUCGGUGAAAACAGAAACAUCAGCUGAGACCAACCUGGAGAGACAGGGUCAAGACUGUCAUCUCCACAAAAACGGGGGCCACCUGCUUUUUUCGCUAAGUCACAGAGUCAAGCACGGUGCCUGAUGCAAUUCAAUAAACAUCUGUUGAAUUGAAUUGAUCCUGUAAGGGAGCAAAGGCAUCAUUCACAAUCAGAUUUAACAAUCCGUGAUAGGUAAGCAUCUAAAUAGUAUUAAAAUAUAUUGGGCAGCAGUUUUUAACAAAUGACCUAGAAAUAAUAAUUACACUUUGGACUCCUCAAAAAAUUAUAUCCUCCUCAAAAUGAAUUGGUUCUAAAGACACUGAAUU
rnacentral:lncRNA from 1 species